GGGGCUAUUUGGUGGAUGAGGAGUGUUUGACAUAUAUGGCAUGCUAGAGGAGUGGUCUCCCAAGAGAUAAUGAUCGAGGUGGAGCUGAAAAAGCAACUAUACAGCCUUCGAAUGCAGAACGGUGGGGAAGUAGUCGAGAUGCAUUCAGCAGUUCGACUAAAGCAUGAAUUUGGGGAGCCUUGGGAUGAUAGAGAUGGCUGAUCCACAUAGUGUCAUAGCUGAUUUAGAGGAGGAGGAGGUCCUUGGUGGUUUUGUAGAUAUCCACACAGUG
rnacentral:lncRNA from 1 species